AGAGUUUGAUCCUGGCUCAGGAUGAACGCUGGCGGCGUGCCUAACACAUGCAAGUCGAGCGAUUCUCUUCGGAGAAGAGCGGCGGACGGGUGAGUAACGCGUGGGUAACCUGCCCUGUACACACGGAUAACAUACCGAAAGGUAUGCUAAUACGAGAUAAUAUGCUUUUAUCGCAUGGUAGAAGUAUCAAAGCUUUUGCGGUACAGGAUGGACCCGCGUCUGAUUAGCUAGUUGGUAAGGUAACGGCUUACCAAGGCGACGAUCAGUAGCCGACCUGAGAGGGUGAUCGGCCACAUUGGAACUGAGACACGGUCCAAACUCCUACGGGAGGCAGCAGUGGGGAAUAUUGCACAAUGGGCGAAAGCCUGAUGCAGCAACGCCGCGUGAGCGAUGAAGGCCUUCGGGUCGUAAAGCUCUGUCCUCAAGGAAGAUAAUGACGGUACUUGAGGAGGAAGCCCCGGCUAACUACGUGCCAGCAGCCGCGGUAAUACGUAGGGGGCUAGCGUUAUCCGGAAUUACUGGGCGUAAAGGGUGCGUAGGUGGUUUCUUAAGUCAGAGGUGAAAGGCUACGGCUCAACCGUAGUAAGCCUUUGAAACUGGGAAACUUGAGUGCAGGAGAGGAGAGUGGAAUUCCUAGUGUAGCGGUGAAAUGCGUAGAUAUUAGGAGGAACACCAGUUGCGAAGGCGGCUCUCUGGACUGUAACUGACACUGAGGCACGAAAGCGUGGGGAGCAAACAGGAUUAGAUACCCUGGUAGUCCACGCCGUAAACGAUGAGUACUAGCUGUCGGAGGUUACCCCCUUCGGUGGCGCAGCUAACGCAUUAAGUACUCCGCCUGGGAAGUACGCUCGC
rnacentral:rRNA from 1 species